rnacentral:rRNA from 1 species
GAAGUUCGGAUCGCGGCGACGCGGGCGGUCCGCUGCCCGCGACGUUGUGAGAAGUCCACUGAACCUUAUCAUUUAGAGGAAGGAGAAGUCGUAACAAGGUUUCCGUAGGUGAACCUGCGGAAGGAUCAUUGUC